UGUCCUUCUCGCCAGACCCACAGAGACAGCAAUAGAGAGAGUGAGAGAAAUCGAGUGAGAGAGAGAUGCGAGAGAGCGAGAGAUAAGGGAUUGAGAGGGAGACCCGUGAGAUUUCCGUGGAAACCCAUCGAACCCGCCAAACCCGAGAGUGAAACCCGUGACCCGUGUGCAACCCGAGAGGAAAUCCGGUUCCCCAAGUGUGUUUUCCGGCGGAUGGAGGCUGUUCUGAUCCUGUGGUUUCCGUCGGUAGUGGACUGCCCAGAACCCCACGAACCCGAGACCUGCGACCCAUGACCCGCUGAACCAUGUGGAAGACCCGGUCCUCUAGGAGCGAUUUUCCGGCGAGUUUUCCGGCGGUCCAGUAGCGAUUUCCGGUGGAUUUUCUAGGAAAAUCCUCUAGGAUCAUGUUUGGAUUGGAGACUUUAAUUGGUUCUCCAAUGUAGAGUCCAAGUGACUAGAGUUCAAGGGAGUGUUCGAGUUGGAGUCCAAUGCAGCCAAGAUGAUGUUUCUUUGGCUGCAGGUACUUCGGUAUAGUCGAUGGGUCAGUAGCAGUGUGCAUGGGAUAUUAUGACUGAAGCUCACCGCGACGGUUAUAAUUGUCGGACCACGGGUUGUCCACUAUUUUAUAGGUUUGGUAUGGCUUGUGACGUUUGUGUCACUUAUUAAUUGUUAAGCCAUUAUUGUUAUAGUGUUAAUAAGACUCAAACAGAUAGAUGUUAAAUGGCUCUUUGUUGUAAUUAAUUUGUGAUAGAUGUAUAAGUUGUAAUUUCCGCUAUUCAGAUUUA